rnacentral:lncRNA from 1 species
UAUUCAGGGCUGCCACACUUUGUUCAGAUCGGUCUGUUAAUGGAGUGCCUCCUCCCCUCUGUAUUAUUAAUACCUGUGGAUAUGUUAAGUGAAUCCACUGAACUGAAUUUUGUUUCUGUCCUCAGCUGUCGGACGAGCAACAGGAAAAGCCUGAUAGUGACAUCUAGCACCUCCCCCACUCUGCCACGACCACACUCUCCUCUGCACGGGCACACAGGUACCAGUCCCCUCGACAGCCCUCGCAACUUCUCCCCGAACACAGCUGCACACUUCUCCUUUGUUCCUGCUCGCAGGACGGAUGGCAGACGCUGGUCUCUGGCCUCCCUGCCUUCCUCUGGCUAUGGUACCAACACUCCCAGCUCCACUGUCUCGUCCUCCUGUUCAUCUCAGGAGAAACUGCACCAGCUGCCCUUCCAGCCCACGCCGGACGAGCUGCACUUCCUCACCAAACACUUCAGCUCAGAGAGCAUCACAGACGAGGAGGGACGCCGCUCCCCCGCCAUGAGACCGCGCUCCCGCAGCCUCAGCCCGGGACGCUCCCCCAUCUCCUUUGACCAUGAGAUUGUUAUGAUGAACCAUGUGUACAAGGAGAGGUUCCCUAAGGCGACGGCUCAAAUGGAGGAGCGACUGGCUGAGCUGCUCUCCUCCUCGGCCCCAGAGAAAGUCUGCCCACUGGCCGACGGGGUCCUGAGCUUCAUCCACCAUCAGCUGAUAGAGCUGUCAAGAGACUGCCUGGAGAAAAGCAGAGAGGGCCUCAUCACUUCUCGCUACUUCUACGAGCUCCAGGAGAAUCUGGAGAAGCUGCUGCAAGAUGCUCACGAGCGCUCAGAGAGUGUGGAGGUUACCUUUGUCACACAACUUGUAAAGAAACUGAUGAUCAUCAUUGCCCGGCCUGCACGCCUGCUGGAGUGUCUGGAGUUUGAUCCUGAGGAAUUUUACCACUUGUUGGAAGCAGCAGAGGGCCAUGCCAAGGAGGGCCAGGGCAUCAAGUCCGACAUCCCCAGAUACAUCAUCAGCCAGCUGGGCCUUACCAGGGACCCCCUGGAGGGUAAAACCAUCUCAGAUUAG